GACGAACGCUGGCGGCGUGCCUAAUACAUGCAAGUUGAGCGCUGAAGGUUGGUACUUGUACCAACUGGAUGAGCAGCGAACGGGUGAGUAACGCGUGGGGAAUCUGCCUUUGAGCGGGGGACAACAUUUGGAAACGAAUGCUAAUACCGCAUAAAAACUUUAAACACAAGUUUUAAGUUUGAAAGAUGCAAUUGCAUCACUCAAAGAUGAUCCCGCGUUGUAUUAGCUAGUUGGUGAGGUAAAGGCUCACCAAGGCGAUGAUACAUAGCCGACCUGAGAGGGUGAUCGGCCACAUUGGGACUGAGACACGGCCCAAACUCCUACGGGAGGCAGCAGUAGGGAAUCUUCGGCAAUGGACGAAAGUCUGACCGAGCAACGCCGCGUGAGUGAAGAAGGUUUUCGGAUCGUAAAACUCUGUGGGUAGAGAAGAACGUUGGUGAGAGUGGAAAGCUCAUCAAGUGACGGUAACUACCCAGAAAGGGACGGCUAACUACGUG
rnacentral:rRNA from 1 species